AUCUCCUAGCUACUCCUCUCACACCUUGCUUUUUAAGCUUGGGGAGAAAGGUUACUUUAAUAGUAGGUCAUUGAUGGGAAAUAUCUGCUUUCCUGAAAAGGAAAAAUAUACAAAAGUAAUGAUGGGAAAUGAUACAGAAUUUCCUCAGAGAGUGAAGAGCAUGGCCCAGCAACCGCACAGCUAGGUUUGUACCCUAAGGAAGGACGGGUGUAUGCUGAAGAGAUUUCUCACACCCAAGUUCACUUCAGCACCUCUCAUAACAGCCAGCGUCUGGAACACACCCAAAUCUAAGUGACCAUCAAUGGAUGGAUAGAUGUAGAAAAUGUGAAAUAUACAACCAGCGAGGCAUUAUUGGGCUUUAAGAAGAGGAGACAAUCGUAUGAUUUGUGGCAACAUGGAUGAGCCUGGAAGACAUUAUGCUAAGUGAAGAAUGACAAGGCAGGGAGACAAAUGUCAGAUGGUCCCACUCACAUGUUGAAUUUAAGGCUACCAAUUCCUUAGAUAGAAGCAGGAAGCUGAGUGGUGCUUACCAAGACCCAGGGCAAAGGCAGCCGGAACUGGACCCAUGAUGGAGAAAGGACAGACUAUCUCAGGAGGGGUUCGUUUAAGCAGUCUAUUAUAUGGUAUGGGCUUACGUCUAAAAGAAAAAUGUAUUAUGUUCUUGAAAAUUUGCCAGAAGAGCCCUGACUGUAGCUGGCCUCACCACAGAGAGUAAGGGUGUGAGGUGAAACACGGGUUAGCACGCUCAACCUCCUCAUCCCACAAUGAGGGGGGAGUUGCUCUUGUUCACUAACCCCGGGACUCAGCAAGCACGACAGAGCUUCGAACUGUGCACAACAGACAUAUACCACGUUAAGUUUUCAAUUCUGCCCGUGCCCAACCUGGAAGUGUUCUAUUCUGGAGAAUUUCACUGCAAAGAAGGGAACCAGAAGCAACCAGCACUAAAGGUUCCGUGAGGCUGUCAGUCCCUUGGGACUACCUAGUCAACAAGUCAUUAUUGUGGUUUAAUGAAAAGGAAAUGAAUACAGAGACCCCGGUUGCAAUUGUAAAAGAUCAAACCCAAAACAUCACAGAGAAAUUCCAUAGAGGGGGCAAAAAGGCCAUAUUACAACUUCAAGUGGAACUCUGUCUUUCCAGGAAACUGGACUAUCCACCAGGGGCACAACCCUUCUCAGUGUAUCGAGCAUGAGUGAGUAUUUUCUCUCAAGCACAUGACUUGUCCUGUUAUUUUCAGAUACAACUUGUCUCUCCAGUGACCAUGACGAUUUAUGGGACGGGAUCCUAUUCUUGUAUUUGCAAGAGAACGGGGCACACGGUUAUGCACACAAUAGGUAGGCAGAGAAUUUGUUUACUGGAUUGAUUGAUGUUGCUCUCAAGGCGAAGGCCCUUGAAUCAAUCACUUCUGAGUGUAGCUAAUGUUUAUUAUUUUCAUUAGUUCCAUUACUCAAGAGCCUCCAUCCAUCCACAAGACCCCUGCCUACUUCAUUUCACUGAACACCGACUAUGUGCUAGGCACUGUAGGUUCACAGAUGAAAAAAAACACGAAGUUCCUGCCUUUUAGAGAGAAUUAUUGAUCACGUUUCACAAUACAUACAGAAUGUUUGCUGCUUAAUUAAAUUACAUUGCAUUUUGUUUUAGUGUCUUUUAAAAUCUUAUCCUACUAGCAAGAACCCAUGUUUCAUAAAUAUAAGUUAACAUUAGCCUAUUGUAUAGCACUUUGUGUUCCUGAAAUACAUACACAUGCACACACAUAUAUGCAUACAGACAUAUGAAGACAGACAGAUUCCCUCUGAUUAAACUUCUUUUGGAGCUGGUUUGCAAUAGCACCUGCUAAGGGGCUUGCUCUGGCUUGAAAGGAGGCUUCUCUGUGUCUGAUUUGUAUCGUGGACUUGGUAUUAGACGAUAAGAACAGCAUCAGAAUAAACAGAAGAGGAGGAGGAUUUCCUGAGGGUGUGCAAGCAAAGGUGUUUCAAAGCUGAAGUGGAGUCAUGCGAAACACAUAGGUCUGGACACCUCGGGAACAGGAACGGUGGCCUUGAUGGCCACCAGAGUCUCUCUGGGUGCUCUCAUUCUUUCAGGCUCUUCCACAACUCAAGGAACAGGGCAGGUGGUCGUUGUGAUAUGCAUUUAUACCUCAUGACCUAUGACCAAAAGGAGAGUCAAGAGGGGGAGACCGGGUGGAGACACUGAUUGGGCAGCUGUCAUAGGGAGCCCUAGAUACUCCUAGUGGAUAACAGGCUGCUUUAACUGGCAGUCCCACAGGAUCCUGGGAUUGGAACAUUUUUCUAAGUGAUGAAGACUUUUCUUCACAGAAGCUAUAAAGGUGUUGUGGAGGACAUGCAUUAGAUCCUGCCACCCUACUCUAAGCAAGGAACACUCCCUGACCAAAGCAAUGCUGCUCUCAAAUAGCACUUCCAACACGUGGGAUUCAUCAGCCUUGCUUGUCUUUCCACUCAUGGACAGCAUCCAGAAUGACUCCAGCAUCAGCACAUGUCAGAGAGCUGAGUCUGUGACUUCAUAGGCUAUACACAAUCUAUAAACGGCAUGGGAAGAUGGCUGCUGGGGGUGGGCCUUGCUGUGCACAGUCACAGGCUUUGUUCUUUCCUUGCAAAGUCAACAGCAAUGACACAGGCUGGCAUCAUCUUUCCUAGCAAUAGAUUCUGAUCGUGACUGUUCCAUUUUCUUUCAGAGAAGCACAGCCUAAGGAUCUGGUCUGGUUGAAUGAAUGCACAGGUCUCAGUGGCCAUGCCAACACACACAUUCACACACACACACACACACACACACACACACACACACACACACACACACACUUCCUUGUCCAACUACUGUGUGAGGAAUGUGUCCAAGUAUCUCUCAAGAGCUAAAAGAGACAACACCUUAAAUGUUUACACAUGCAUCUUAUGCACCUUACCUACACAUGCAUCUCCCAUACCUUCUGGAUAUUAUAAGGAGCCUUGGAGACCCCAAGUCUGUUGGGAGCCCCCAGACUCCUGUUUACGUUUGUAUUUAGAUUUAUAAAGAAUCCUUCCACAGCAUAACAAGAAGUCCCAAAUAAAAAUAUAUUUUAGGGGUUUGGAGUGAUGGCUCAGUGGUUAAGAGUACUGACUGCUCUUCCAGAGGUCCUGAGUUCAAUUCCCAGAAACCACAUGGUGGCUCACAACCAUCUGUAAAGAGAUCUGAUGCCUUCUUCUGGUGUGUCUCUCUGAAGAGAGCAACAGUGUACUUACAUAGGGAAAAUAGAUAAGUCUUUAACAAAAAAGUUUUAAAAGAAACAUAUUUUAAUAAACUGAAAAAUGGAAGGGGAGUCUCGAAAAGCAACCCCACUCUCAGAAUGGUAACUGGUAAAGAAGUUGGGAACAGAACCCAAAAGCACCAUGAAAAUGGCUACUAGUCCUUGAUCUGGAUGCAAAGUUUCCAGGAAGGUAGAACUUCCGAAUCCUACAUUAAGCCAGGGUCUUUGGAAAGAACCACUGUUCUCAGGUCCGUGGGACCGGUGUCUUUAGUAGAGGUGAACAGAAAGCCUCUCUGGUAAAAGGUGUAUUUAGUUAAGGCCUACAUAGCUCCCACAUUCUAAGAUCAAGAGAAAAGAAUUAGAAGGCAAGCUGCCAAGAGUAGGCAGAAAUAAAACACACAUGCGUGCGCACCCACACACCACACACACAUACACACACACCACACACACACCACACACACACACACACACCACACACACACCACACACACACACACACACACACCACACACCACACACACACCACACACACACCACACACCACACACCACACACACACACACACACACACACCACACACACACACACACACCACACACACACCACACACACACCACACACCACACACCACACACACACACACACACACACACACACUUAAUCCAUAACCACUAGAGAUAAAAGAAUUGUCACAUAUAGACUAUAACCAUGUGGAAAAUAUUCCAAAGGACAAGGGCAAAAACUCACAAAAGCUGGAGAGCAGUAAAUGGAGCACAAGGGAGAUUUGAAAAAAGAGUAUGAAACUCUUAGAAACAACAAGGGAAAAAAAGUGCAUUUGAAAGGAAAACUCAGUAGUGGCUCAGAUGUAGCUGAACGAAGAAUCAGUGAAUCGGAAGAUACUCUUGGGAAAUCACCCAGUGCAGCAGCACAGAGAGGCAGCCGAGGAAAUGCUAUGAGAAAGGUUAAGGAUUUGCAAGGUGGAUAGGAAGCCUAACACGUCGAAGUGGAGUUCCAGGGAGAGAGAGGGCUGAGGGAAGAGCAUGGGGACUUUUUCUAAGAUGAAGGCUGAGAACUAUUUGGAACUAACUUGAAUCUUCAUAUUCAAAAUCACAAGGGCUGGUGAGAUGGCUCAGUGGGUAAGAGCACCUGACUGCUCUUCCGAAGGUCCGGAGUUCAAAUCCCAGCAACCACAUGGUGGCUCACAACCAUCUGUAACAAGAUCUGACACCCUCUUCUGGAGUGCCUGAAGACAGCUGCAGUGUACUUACAUAUAAUAAAUAAAUAAAUCUUUAAAAAAAAAAAAAGAAAGAAAAUAAAAAAAAAAUCACAAACUUUUUUUUUUCCUUAAAGUUUCCAAAAGAGGCUUUGGCUAUGGGGAUGGUUCAGUGGAUAAAAGUGUUUUCUGUGGAAACAUGAAGGCCUGGGUUUAGAUUUUUAGCACCUAUGUAAAAGUUGGGUGUGGUGGCAUAUGUCUGUAAUCCCGUCAUGGGGCCGGUGGCAUGCAGAUCUCAAGUUUAGUGACUUGCUAGUCUAGCCAAAUCUGUGGGAUUCGGGUUUAAUAAGAGAUGCUGUCUGAUGAUGGUGAUGAUGAUGGUGGUGGUGGUGGUGGUGCUGGAGGAGGAGGAGGAGGAGGAAGACAUUUUAUGGUGCUUCUAUCCUCCAUACACAUGUAUGAGUCACACUCAUAUAAACAUGAACACACCACACACCCUCGAAAAGAUUCCCAUUUCUACAUGUGGCCGUGGAACUAUAAAAUACAAAGCAGGGCAGGGAUAGAGAAGUAGAAAAAGGACAAGAGGCAGAUCACCUAUGAAGAAAUGGCAUUACUAGAAAUAGGCACCUGAAGCAGGAGACAGCAGCUGGAAGACACGAGAAAAUAACCUUCGGUCUGAAAAACAUCUUUCCAGAACAGAGACACAAUAAAGAUAUUUUUAGAGUAAGCAAAACCUGGGAGUGUACCAGCAUCUGGCAUCCAGUGAAGAACAUCCAAACGGGGGGAUACCAGGAGAAGAGGGAAAUAAUCCCAGAAGGAAUAAACCGUGAAAAUGGCUGUAACUAAAACAUGACUUUAUAUAAUAAUAACGGCAUUAAUAAUCACUGUACUGGGCAGGGUUAAUAAGGAGCAAGACUAAAACACUCUCCCAUGCUCAGAGGGCACAGGCACCGUCAGAGCACACCAAGGGCCCUGCCUUGUUCCAGAAGGAGGUUAGGAUAAUUUUAGACUUUGCACAGUUAAAAUGUAUCAUAAAAUCGCAAACAAAACCACAAAUAAAACAGAAUUAGAGGGUAUUAACCCCAAAUCAAUAGGCAAAAAUAAAAGAUUAAAAAAAAAAACCAAGAACCUUUCUUAUCUUCAAUUUUUAAAAGCCCUUUAAUAAAUAAAACUUUUUUUUUCAUGACAAAGUCUUACUAUGUAGCUCAGGGUGGCCUCAAACUCAGGCCAAUCCUCCUGCCUCAGCUUCCUGGGUGCUGAGAUUGCAGGCAUGCAAGCACCACCUCAUCUAACUAUAGUGGCUCCAAAAAAAGAAAGAAAGAAAGAAAGAAAGAAAGAAAGAAAGAAAGAAAGAAAGAAAGAAAGAAAGAAAGAAAGAGAAAAGAAAAGAGCUUUAAACAAACAUGGGAAUGAACAAAUACUAGAAACCAGCCCAGAGCCUAAACAGCUUCAUGUUCCCGCUACACAGAGGCAGGCUGACUUCGGUAGAGACAAUCAGGUGUGCUCAGACAGUUUUCAAACCCAAGCCAGAAGUACCUGCUGCAGAAAAACACACCCCCACGUACAUAAAGACUAUAAAAAGUGCAAAGCAAAGUGUGAAAAAAAAGUGUGCUUUGUGUGGUAGUUCUCUUUCACCACAGAGGCAGAGAUGAGCGACUGCUAAGGGCGCCACUCUGACUCUCGGCUUCAGAGGUUUCGCUGCUUGGCCUGUUGCUCCUGGGCAUGCAGGAAGGGAACCCAUCAUGGCAGCAACACAAAGUAGACCCAAACCAUUCCCGUAUGGCUAAGACAUGAAGAAGAGAGAGGAAGGGGAGGAGACUGGGCAUCCACCAUCUGCUUUGGGGACAUGCCCCCAGUGACUGGAUGGCCUUCCGAAGGGUACACCUCUCAAAGUUGCCAUUCUCUCCCAACAGUGCCCAGUGCCGAGCGGGUAACAAAGUCCUUAACACUGGGGGCUUUAAGGGGCUUUGGACAACCACACUAGGUAACCUGGUGUACGCUAACCACAGGAAAAUUCACCAGCUAGACUAUUAGGCUGAGUGUGCAAUUAGGAAGAAAUGAUAGAUUCACUCACCAAGAAAACAUGAGAACUGUAAAGUUGCACAUAAUAAAUUUGCCCCGGCAUAUAUCAUACAAAAUUUGACAAACUCAGAGAAGAAGAUGGACUACCACAGUAGGACGCUGCAAAAUAAGUGUUUCGGUUGCUACUAAGCAAAGCAGGAAAGGUUUACUAAAGAUUAUGAUUCUAACCACGCACUAACAGGCUUGAUUCGAUGGCCGUAUAGAGAACAGUGGUAGCACCUUUUACCCAUGACCUACGACCCCGAGCCGAUCUCGGGCCCUCGGUUUCCUCAUCUGCACAGUGGGGACAGCUCUGCACAGUGUUUAAAUCCAGGUUGAGGCCUCACUGGCGAGAAGGCUCACUGCUAUUUCACACAUCUUUAGAAUAGGAAGCACUGCCAAUUCAGCGCAAGCUGCCAAUUAGAAAUCACGUGUCGGGUUUUUGGCGAUACUGAAAUGUACCAAAAAAUUGUGACUUGGAGCUCAUGGCGUGCUGUUUGUUCGUUGUGUGGGCCACUGCGAUGGUUAAAAUGAGAAGCAGCUUCCUGCUGAGAUGGCUUUUACCCUCAGAACUGGUUUACAAGCAGGUGAAGGCAAAGUCAGGGAGCUCGUACUGAAAUUCAGAAGGGGGCACGCUUGCUUUUGGCGGCUUCAAAUCCUCACUUUAGAAAGCAGUAAGGCUACCUGCUUCCUGGUCAGCAGGUCUUCAGAGGAGAAAGGAUUUGUGAAGAAACCCCAAGAAAGGAAGGCUGAGUCAGAGCCCACGCUGGAGGGCUGCCACUGGUCACUAAGGCUUUCCUGCAGAGGAGUUGGGGGACUGAGUAGGACCCGGCCAGCCCAUCACUUGAAAAAUGGGGAGGAGAGACCUUCAAGGAAAGUGAUGGGAGACAAGAACACAGGCUGACUUUCUGAAUGGAUGAAAAAUUCAGGUUACUAAAAGUAGCCUUGCCGUUUGCGGCAGAGGCAAUUUUAGUGUCUUAAUUAUAUUACUAUUUUUGAGUGGCUUUUUAUAAAGUAACUCUUCGUUUCUUUGCAAAGAUCAGGGUUUUUGUUGUAGUAGCUGUUGUUGUUAACAUGCCUCUUAAAAAUACAUUUAAAAACAAAUAAAACAACAAGUAAUUGUCAAUAGCUUUGACCCUGAGAGUCCGGUGGCAUCCUCUCAUUACAGAGACCCUCCAGCUGCUUGUCCUCUGCCCAACCCUGGGACCUCUGUGCAUCUCUGGAUAACCUCUGACCUCCAGGGGUGCCUGUUUGUCUUAUGAGUGACACUGGCUACUUGGGACCUUCCCAGUUUGGGUGUGUUUGUCCCUUUGAGGACAGCGAGUUGCUACAAACCCCUGAAGCCCUUCUGCCUCCAGCCAGUGGCAGCCCCGGGAGCCCCACAGUGAGAUACAGGGUGACUUUAGGGUGGUGUUGAAGAAGAUGGCCCCACAAAUAGGUCCGGCAACCUUAGUGUAACCCCAGAACCCACAGAAAGGUAGGAGAGAAACAGCUCCUGAAAACUGACCUCUGACCUCCACGGUAAUGUGUGGUGGCAUGCCCCGUCCACCAUAAUAAUAAAUAGUUUAAUUAAAAAAUCAUUUUUAAAACUACACAUGUUCCCAUGGCAGGAAGCUGACACUGAUUCUGAGAGACGCAUUUGUUGGAGGGAUACAUUUGAUUGUUGUGCAAUUAUAAAAACAACACUGUUAAAAUCCUCUGAGGUAAUGGCCGUCACCUCUCUGAAAAAUGGUACCAGCCACUUGACCUUUUACCCACUGUAUUUGGUUCCUGUGGCUGCCGAGACAAAUCACCCCGAACCUAAUGGCUUAAAGCAGAACAAAUUGAUUAUCUUACCAUCGUGUGUAUUAGAUAGCUGAUGUUGGUCUCACUGGGCCAAAAUGAAGUGUUGGCAAGGUUGCUGCCUUCCAGGGAUGCUAGGCAACGCUCCUUCCUGUCCCAUUCUUCGGUAACACCUACAUCAUCGCCAGUGCCAAGAAGGGAGGGCAAACCUUUCCUGCAUGGGAUUACUCUCCCCCACUCUUCUACCUCCUGUUUUCCAGUUUAAUUGUGUGGGAGUGACCUCCCCAUCAAAAGGUAUUAACACGUUCAGAUCUGCAAAGUGCCUUCUGCCAUGGGAGAAAACAUUCGUGGUUUCUGGGGACCAGGGCACAGGCCUCUUUGGGUGAGUGUUGUUCCCCCUUUCUGUGUGUGUGACUGGGGACCAGGAGGACAUAGAGGCCUGGGUCUUUUGAGCUGGUUAGCAGCGUCUGUCCCCUGCCCUUGUUUGCGGCUGCCCGGAGCUGCAGAGCAGGAGGCAUGCAUGCAGCAAGGAGAUAUUUCUGGAAAGCCUGCCACACACUGCUGAGAGCUCUUCUUAGGGAAGUUUAAGAAUGGGAUAGAAAGGCCUGGCCCUGGCUCCAACAGGAUCUUACAGUAUUCGGCGUCAGGGCUGAGCAUGCUGUACCACAGCUGAAGAUUCAGCAUCUUGGUCAUUCUUCCAUGAUACCGAUGACAAUAAGUCGCAGGGUUAAAGGUGACCCAUUUAAGAAAUACAUUUUUUUUUCCUUUUUAACAGAGAAGCCUUUAGAGGAAGUCCUUUUUGCUGUUUGAAUUAGAAAGUAUUGAAGUCCCUCUACCUGGGUUUUAACAGCAGCAGCAGCCGGCUCUGCUGAAGGAGAAUAGCCCUUUUCUUCCUUGGAACUGUUAAAUCUAAAUUGGUAAAGUUCAGAUCCUGGAACGUGGGUGGCUAUACAUGGAGUAGGGGCUCAGACGGCUGUUGAACUAAAUAAUCCCCAAGCUCGCUUUUUGCUUACGGCCUAUGAAUAAAUAGAAAAAGAUCGAAACGAGAAGCAAUUUAGUGAGAACCAUUAAAACUUAAGGUAUCCAUUUCCUUAAGCCAGCAUCUCCACUUCUUGGGGGGGGGGCAUCCUAGAGAAAAGUUGGCGUGUGUCUGUGAGGAUAACAUGUAGUAUGUCAACACCUGCAAUGGGUGGAGAUGAGAAACAAUGUCAAGGCCACUCGGAAAAUAAGGAAAUGUGUAUGGUAUGUCUGUACCAAACAAACAACUUCUUUUAAAGAGAUACAUGUUACACUGCCGAAAUCAAGCCCCCAAAUUGUGUGUUUUGAUAUAUAUAGAACGUUUAUAUAAUAUAGAAUAUCUAUCAUCUAUCUAUUAUUGAUUCACCCAUCAUCUAUCUAUCUAUCUAUCUAUCUAUCUAUCUAUCAUCUGUCUGUCAACCAAUCUAUCUAUCUAUCAUCUACCUAUCUAUAACACAUUGAUUACUAUCAGGAUACAAACACCAGACUGGAAACAAUUGUUACUCUGAGAGUGACUACGGCGAGCUUGUGGAAGUGAGCAGAGGUUGGGAAAGGUGGAUUUUUUACCUUUAUUUAUAUUGUCUGACUUUUUUCCCCCAGUGAAACAUAUUUAAGUGUAAUUAAAUGAGAAACAUCCUUAGCAGCAGAAAAUGAAACUGGGCCUGGGCAAGUAGCUCCACUGAUAAAGUACUUGCCACAUACUUGGGCAUCCGGGUUAGAAUUUUCAGAACCCACAGCAAUGAGGUCUGUAGUACCAGUUUUUGAGGUAGGGGCAGGGAAUAGGUAGAUCCUUGGAGUUUAUUGACCAGACAGCCUCACCAAACCAGUGAGUUCCGGGUUCAGUGAGAGGCCCUUCCUCAAAACGGAGUGAACAUGGUGGAGAGCAAACGAAGAAGACACUUCAUAUUGACCCUCUGACCCGUGCAUGCUCAGUCAGACAUGUAUGAGCACACCUGAACACACAUGCACACAUACAAACUGGUAUGCCACUCUCACACACAUACAGAGAAACCAAUGCGACAGUUUAAGAUAAUAUCAAAACAGUCGACCGAAUCUAUUAAAGUAUUAGUGCCACUCUUGUGUGUAUACUAGUGCUCAUGGGCGUGGAGGUCCACAUGUGUAUGGACAUGUACAUGUACACAUGUGAGCAUGCGUGUGGACAUCAAAACAAUCUCCAGCACUACUCCUCAGACACCGGGUAGCCUGUGGUUGAGACGGAGUCUCUCAAUGGCCCGGAACUCAAAAAGUAGGCUAGGCUGGUCGGUCAGAGAGCCCGGUCAGAGAGCCCAAAGGACCUGCCUGUCUCUGUCUUCCCAGCUCUGGGCAGACAAGCAUGUCUGCCAUGCCAGCACUCUUUGCCUGAGUUCUGGGGAUCAGGCUCAGAGCCUCAUGCUUCACCAACUGGGCUAUCCCCCAGCCCUAGUAUAGUAUUAUCAAAGCAACAACAGCACAACAACAACAACAACAACAACAGCAACACAACAGGACUGAAAGUUCAACCAUAUUUAUUCCUGUUGUGUUUAAAGAAUGUGUACAUCUGUAUACAUUUAGACACAUCUUAACAUAGAACAUAAAUCUAAUGCAUCCAUACUCACACGGAACCUAUUAUUUAUGGCACCUGUCUCCCCAUAGCAUGCAUAUGCAUGCACCACAACCACACAUAUCUGCCUACGGUUAUAAUACCACAGUAAGUGCUGAUUUAGUUAAAUCAUACAUAAAUAUCCUAUUCUUCUUCAUUGCUCUUAUUAUUUUUAAUGGUAUCUCCUACGUGAUCAUGAUUAAUCAGGUAAUUGAAUUUGGGUUGCCUUUUAAAUAAUUCAAUUAGCUUCAGUAAAUUAAAAAAGUUUCCUGACAUAGUUGCAAAAUUGAGAGAGAGAGAGGGAAAAAAACCCCAAAACCCAAAACACUGCUCUACAACCUGCAACAUCCUUUAAAGGAAGCCCUCCAGAGUGUGAAGAGCCUGCUAAGGUUUUACCAAAUGAAUGCUCUUUGUGUAGAAAAACUGAUCUAAAUCGUGGUUUAAACUUUACAACCACUACAGUUUCUCCACUGGAGCCAACUCCUGCUGGAAACAAAGAGGGCAGAGGGGUUAUCUCAGACCUACGGGGAUAGCCCUUAGACCGCAGCUGUAAAGGAUUGCGCCAGAUUGGCACCAACAGGAAUCCCUCUUCAGACUCUAUGAGACUGGAGAUUGGGUGUUUAGUUCCACUGAGAAAAGGGGAAGCCACCGGGCUUUCCAUUUGCCCAGGGAACAGUCCUGAAGACCCUCAAUGGUCUGUGCGUGCACAGCCUUCUCUGGGGGCGAUCAAGUCCUCCCCUCUCCCUGCAGGGAGGCAGCAAACCGCAGACCUCAAUCACGCACCUGCGGGUUAGCAGAUAAGCCCUCCAUAUGCGCAGGCACUCGCCCAGCUGUGGCGGAGGAGCGGUGAGCCUCCCCUUCCCUCCCCCAUCCCCGCAGAACAAAGGGCGGUCAUUUUCUGCUCCUCCCAGAGUCAGAAGCACGCACACGCCUUCCAUCACAAUUAACUCCAGAAUCCGAAACACAACACAGACCCACCCGCAACAUGUGCAAAAUCAAUGCUGUCGAUAGCCAGACCGAGGAUACUGAAAAAGCAAAGCAAAACAAACCUAUUCAAAGAGUAAAUACUCCCGGUAACAGGGCUCCCGGUCAGACACACCACAAGGUCAACAAAUCCAAAGCGACUUCAAGUACUAGAUGCCUUAUAAACCAAAGAGCUGGCUGUUAUCCCAGGGGUUGCAAAAGUAAAACCACUCUGGGGUGGGCUAAUAGAAAGAUCUGUAGGAUAAUGGGUGGGCCUGCCCCUACCAGGACACUGAUGCUACAGGUAAAGACAUUCCUAUUCAAUUUUUAAAAAAUCAACUCCUGAGACAUGCCUCUCAGACAGCCUAUAAUCAGACAGAGAAAAAAGCAGAAUUUAAUAUGGAUACAGGGCAGAUGAAAGAGUAAGAGGUCUAAAUCAGAGAUGCUGCCAAGGAGUUGGUAGGAUGAGAGGCGGGGCAGGGAUCCUGGCUGUCUUUAUGUAAAACAACGGUGGCUUUACAUCUUCAAGGCAGCCAGGAAACAAAAGCUAAAGGAAAUGGCCUAUUAAGCUCCCACAAGAGGGGUUUAGAUUAGUCAAAUGAGUUUUGACCUGAGUAACUGAGCUGUAUUGCGGAAUGAUCACCACAGUACUUCAGAUGGUGCUCAGUGCGCAGCACAUCCACACAAUACAGGACUGGCCUUGUCCAGAGGCAAGAGGAGGUGGACCAGAUGACCUCUCAAGGUCCUGAUUUAAAUACGUCUGUAUAGUCAGCUCUUGGUUAUCCGGCCCAAAGUAGAAGACAGUGACAAAUCUUCCUAGGCUGAAGAUAAUAAAAGUUGUGUUUGCCUUUGGAAUGUACGUUGGUACUUAAAUUGGACCGUGCCUUUCUGAUGCUCCAAGAAUUCACAAUGCCUUGCAACAGCCACUGAGAAACCCUGACCUGGAGCUGGGAGGCUGCCCGAUUUCUCCAUGUUCGCUCAUCCCAGUUCCUCCCAUAACUCUUCUUCCUUCGAGCGAGCAACAGAUGCGUCGUGCAGAAUGACACAUAGCAGCUGCAGCUACUUCAGCAGCCGCCUGGAGAGAAACGGGUCAAGACCAUGUAUGAUCUAGGCCUUGUUUGCAAAGGUAAGUCCAAUCAUUUACGGACCCAGGCCGGUGGCAAGCUGGACAUGGUAUAGUCACCCACUCUACAAUGACUAUGAAUGACAGUCUAGUUUCUCAACUAUAGAGGACACAAACAUUCUUGAGCUCAAGAGAUGAGGUCUUGGGGGAACAGGGUGAAGUGCACAGCCAUUGCUCAGGAAGAACAGGGGCAACUCCCUGCACUCCAAAGGAUGUGUGAGAUGGAGACACACAGAAGCCAAGUUUAAUCUGGGGCUUGGGGAACCAGCCUGAACAAUGGGUCUGUGGGUCACAAGCGCCUUUUGACCUGGUAAAGACAAAGAGACCCUGAGACCCUCCCUGACACCAAACUUGUUUUUCUUUUCUUUUCAAACAGGUCAGGACAAGCCUUAAGGGAGGGUGUGUGUGUGUGUGUGUGUGUGUGUGUGUGUGUGUGUGUGUGUGUAUGAAGGGUGUAUGUGUGUGUGUGUGUGCCUUAGGGGAGGUUGUGUGUGUGUGUGUGUGUGUGUGUGUGUGUGUGUGUGUGUGUGUGUGUGUAUGCUGGGAGGGAGACAGAGAGAGAGAUUGAGAUUUUCUGUAACCUGCUGGUUUUGCAGCUGGGUGAUGAAUCACGAGGAGGGUGAUACAGCCUGGUACUACUGUGUCAGCAUGCCUCGGAGAGGGCAUCAAAGAGAGAGAAUGAAAGACCAGAGAGGCCUUUGCAUCUUCCUCCACAGGAGCAUGCUUUGUUCUUCAAGGCCUUUUCACCCCUGUGGGGACCUCAGGGGAAAGUAUGAGUGACCACAGGGCAGCAACCAAGGUCUCCUGAAGUGACCAUGCAGAGGCAAUACGAGGCAGGCCAGAGGAUAGAGCAGACGUGGAAUGGGAGCAGAAGAUACAGAGGUCAGAGACAACCUCCCUAUGGAGGCAGAGAGAUUAUCCAUGGGGGAGAGGGAGGGGUCCUGACAGCACCUGCCAGGUGUCCCGUGAGAGGAAAGAAGGGUGAAAGGACUCACAAACCUUAGGUUUUUCCAUAGUAACUUGUGAGGAAAUGAGCUCGAGUCAGAGUCUUGGGUGAACGGAAAGUCUAUCCCUGAUGCUUAGGGGUGGGGAUGGAAAGGAAGAGGGAAGGCUUACUCUCCCAUUUCCUCUGUCCUCAAGCCCCCAGGGUUCAUCUGGGAAGACUGGUGUCACCUAUCAGGAGACAGGGCCAAUUACAACAUCUCGGAGAUGGAGGGCUGGCGACAUGUGGUGCUGGGCAUGGCUCUACUUCUCCCUGCUUCCAGGGACAACUGAGCAUUACAGGCUGAACACAGGUGAGCCGCCCCGCUCACCGCGGGAGAAACGGAUCCGUGCUACCACCUGUAUCUGCACUGUUUUAUCAUUUUCUGCUCUUUAAGCAGAACUGAACUGCUAGCUUGAGAUGUGGCUCUUUGAUUAGAAUUAGAAAUUCAGUUCCUUGAGCUGGGCAUGGUGAGGCAUGUCUGAAAAGCCAGGGCCAAGGUAUCACACGCUUCAGGCCAGCCAGAGUACAUAGCAAAAAAGAAAAAAAAAAAAAGCUGUGUCCAGAAAAAUGUAGGGAAGAAGGAAUUCAAUUCCUUGACUAUAUCAGCCAUACUUAAAAUCUUAAUUGUCACACAUGCCUAAUGAACACCACACAGGGAAAAUACUACCUAGCUUCUGGAAGGUCUAGCACUGAGUGGCUCUCAUCUUCUCAGGGUAGAAUAAAAUAAUUAAAUAAAUAGAGAAAAUUCCUUUUAAAAAUAUCUUUUUUAUGUAGCAUCACCAUGGACCCUGUGUUCAGCUCUGGGAGGUGGGUAGAUAGGGCAGAUCCAGUUAGUUCAAUGCACCCAUUUUACAGAUGAGGAAAAUAAAGCUGGAGCACAAAGGUUGGCAACUGUUGGGUUAAAUAUUGUUAAACUUAAAACCAGUUCUUCACUGUGAGUUGUGACACAUGCCUGUAAUCCCAGCACUUGGGAUGUGGAGAUAAGAGGAAUUAAAAAGCUAUCCUCAGCUAUAUAGCAAGUUCAAGACUAACUUGGGAUAGAUGAGACCCUUUCACAAGAUGCUUAAAACCAAUUCUUUCAUUUCUAAGGCUGAUGCUUUUAUUGUUGCAUAUGACUGCUACAAAUAAUGUCACCCGUUAGAUAUUUUGUUCUACAUUACCAAAAAUAGCAGGCUCCUAGAACUAGGCACAUGGCCCCUGCUUUGUUCUUAUCACUGGUUUUUGAAGUGUCGAGACUCUGUGUAGUAAAUGUGGUGACUCUAGGAUGCCCUGAGGUUCGACUCCUGACCCAUCCAUUUACUGUGUAUUUAUGAAAGCCCAUUGCUGUCUUUUGUUUGGUUUUCCGAGGCAGUCUCACAGUGCUCCACCUCCAAGUGCUGGAAUCCCAGGAGUGUACCACAACACAUGUGGCGCUGGGGACUGAAUCCAGAGCUUCAUGAAUGUUGGACAAGCAGUUUACCAACUAAGCUACAUUCCUUACCACCACCACCACCCUGCCCCACCCCGCUUUUGAGUUUUGUCUCCAUCUCUAAAUGGGGUGCUGGGAUGUCAGAGGGAUGAAGAAGGUGAUGCAUGUGAAAUAUGAUGAUAGAGCCUGGCACACAGUAGUGCUCAAUAAGUAACAACUAUCCAUGGUGACUGGCAGAACUCACAAUGUGCUAUCAUGUGCAAUAGCCAAGUGAGGCUUCAGGACAAGGUGUUGCAGUGAUCUCUUCCUUCCAGAGGAUGUAUGUGGAUCUCAAGGUCACGCAACUGGGAAGGUGCACACCAGGGCACCAUCUCAAGCCAUAUGAACUCCGAGUCUCUGCUUUUCCAGCUACGCAAUAGUAUUCUUUUUUGGAGGAGGAGCAGCAGGCUAUAUGCCUAGCCAGGAGAGGCUCAACUAUCCCUCUUGAUUUCCAUCUUCGCUCUUCUUUGAAAUGGAACCUCCCUGGGAAGGAAGUGAUACCUGCACGGCCAAGGGAGCUGACGUGUGGCAAGAGGCAGCCUUGAGAAGCCUGCAGAUAGCUUUCCUCUAAGCUGCCGUUUGCUCAGUGCCCCUACUUUGCAGAGGGCAAAGCCACGGCAUCCCAAAACCGCAGCUCUGCCAGCUGGGCUGGUGCUGGCCACAGAAGACUGCAGACCCAAGCGAGAACAAGCAUUGGCCACUGCGUUGUGGUUUGGAGUUACUGUCACACAACCGUAUCGCUGCAAAGGCUGAUUAAUACGUCUGUCAGACUCAGGGUGGGAGGCACUUACCCCGCCACAACGAUCUCGAAGUCCCCAUCAUGGUCCACAUCUGUCACUGCCACUCCAUAGUUGAGCUGGGUGGGGUUGCUGUCAUAGUCAGGGGGCAGGACUGAGUUGGUGACUGCAGUGAACAUGGGCUCAGCCCUCUGGGAUCCCCCAGUGAGAGGCAGAAGCCACAGGGGCGGCAGCAGGAGCAAAGCCAUCCUGACCAUCUGAAAGCAAAAGUUACAGGCUUUACUGAAAGGUCCCAGAGCUGGGCAAAUAAAUCCAGUCCCGGGAGGCCAUGUCGGCAUUCUCCCCUGUCUCAGCCAUCAUAGAACCACUGCUUUGUAAGUGUCCCAUCUCUGCUAUCGUAAAUCUACAACCUGCCUCCAUCCCGGUGGGCCACUGUCCCUGGUCUUUCCCCCCUCUUCUGUAGCACCCAUCAUUGCACCACUUGCGAUGGGAUUUACUGCACCUCACACUUAGUUACUGGCUGUCACCCUCUGCUAAAGUACAAGAUCCACUUUGCCAUGGAUAUUUGUCUGGUUUGCUUACUUGAUAUGCACCAGGCUAAGAAUAUGUUAUGCAAGGAGCAGUCAAGAUGUAUUUGAGGAAGGAAGGGAGGGAGGAAGGAAGGAAUGAAGGAAUGGAAGAUGGAAGGAAGGAUGUCCUAUAUACUCUGAAAGAAUGAAGCAAAUAACAGAUUUCAAUGCAGAGGUGGGGGGUGAAACCUUCCUUCACCCACAGGUCACUGGGUCCAGAGCAACAACAAAGGUAGUGGGGGUUGCUCUCCUGUGAGGCAUACCCCAGAGGUGGCCUGGCAGGUUCUCCAAGACAAGAUUCCUCCCAAGGACUGUUGGUCAUUGCUUCCAGACUAAGAGGCAGUCAGUCAAGGGAUGUGUUCCAGCGAGGUCUGGCGGCUAGUACAUCAUUCACUUGGAGAAAUUAAACCAUUGUGUGUGUGUUUUAUUAUAAAUUAA